AAAAGCCAUUACUCGAGUGAAGCCAUACAUCUGCACCAUGCCACUGAAGAUGGAUGAGGGCUGGAAUCAAAUCCAGUUGAACUUGGCUGAUUUUACAAGGAGGGCAUAUGGAACCAAUUAUGUUGAGACUUUACGAGUUCAGGUUCAUGCUAAUUGCCGGCUGAGGAGAAUAUAUUUCUCUGACCGCCUCUACUCAGAAGAGGAACUCCCUCCAGAAUUUAAACUCUAUCUUCCAAUGCAGAAAGCAUGAGAAGUUCCAGGCUUUAGAAUCAUCACUUCAAAAUGAGCUAGAGCUCGUGCUGGGUUUUAUCAUUCUGCAUCUGUAAACUGGUUCUAUCUUGGUUUUCUUGUGUUUUGUGUUAAUAUGAGAGGUACCAAAUUCCAGAAGUGAUCAUGCAGCAAUUAUCCCAUUAUGUUUUGGGUGGCUUCCAUGGACAUAGGAAGUGGAACUUUGUUUACAGUAAUAACUGUUUGAAUCCUUUAUGAUUCUCUUGAUUUGAUGGUUUAAAAAAAGUUCCACUUCCUAUGUCCAUGGAAGC
rnacentral:misc_RNA from 1 species